GUGGCAUGGGGUACGGACAAAGUUC
rnacentral:piRNA from 1 species